UGGGGAAUAUUGGACAAUGGGCGAAAGCCUGAUCCAGCCAUGCCGCGUGUGUGAAGAAGGUCUUCGGAUUGUAAAGCACUUUAAGUUGGGAGGAAGGGCAGUAAGCGAAUACCUUGCUGUUUUGACGUUACCGACAGAAUAAGCACCGGCUAACUCUGUGCCAGCAGCCGCGGUAAUACAGAGGGUGCAAGCGUUAAUCGGAAUUACUGGGCGUAAAGCGCGCGUAGGUGGUUCGUUAAGUUGAAUGUGAAAGCCCCGGGCUCAACCUGGGAACUGCAUCCAAAACUGGCGAGCUAGAGUAGGGCAGAGGGUGGUGGAAUUUCCUGUGUAGCGGUGAAAUGCGUAGAUAUAGGAAGGAACACCAGUGGCGAAGGCGACUACCUGGGCUCAUACUGACACUGAGGUGCGAAAGCGUGGGGAGCAAACAGG
rnacentral:rRNA from 1 species